rnacentral:rRNA from 1 species
AUGGGGUUCCCCGCAGAGAAGGUCGCGAUGGCUGUCAAGCACGCUGGAGGAGGACAGGACGAGGAUGAUGCCGUCCUCGACUGGUUGAUUAAUCAUGAGGACGCUGAUCUACAGGGGUCCAGCUCAUCAAGUGACCUGGAGGGGUUCGACAGUUCAACAAGUGACAUGGAGGUGUUUCUCAUCUCAUCAACAGGCCUAGAUGCGGUUGGCGAAGAGCUGACAGAGAGAGACAAGAAGUUCUUGACACUAGUGGAGAUGGGUUUCACCGAAGAAGAUGCCUCUUCAGCCAUUGACCUAUGUGGUGUGCAUGAAGAAGAUUCAGUACUUGCUGAUGCAAUAUUGGCUGCACAGAUAGCUAAGAGAGAAGAGGACUCAGCUGAAAUUGUGCUAGUUGAUAUGCCUAAAGAACGUCCGUAUUUUUACUUUGAGAAUGUUGAACGUGCCCCGAAAGGAGUUUGGGACGAGAUGUCUCGAUGUCUUUACAACCUAGCGCCCGAGUAUGUGGACUCAAAGGAUUUCUGUGCAGCAACAAGAAAGAGAGGGUAUAUCCACAAUCUUCCUGUAAAAGGAAGGUUCAGUAUCAAGCCAAUGCAACCGAGGACUAUACAGGAGAAAUUUCCACAGACAAAAAGAUGGUGGCCUUGGUGGGAUACAAGGACACAACUGAAUUGUAUACAGACCGUGAUGGCCCCCGCUACAGCAUCAGAUAGGGUCCGAGAGAUCCUUAGUGAUUCUGAUGGCACCCCAAGUGAGGCUCAUCAGAAAGAAAUCCUCCAUCUAUGCAGGCAUUGGAAUCUCAUUUGGGUUGGGCCAAACACUGUUGCUCCGUUGGAGGCUGGCGAGGUUGAGUCUUUGUUGGGUUUCCCAACGGAACACACCAGAGUCGGCUUUAACAGGACAGAUAGGUACCGGUCUCUUGGCAUUCCACCUCUCUGUUCUAAAGGAGCAGUUUCCUGA